GAUGAACGCUGGCGGCGUGCCUAAUACAUGCAAGUCGAACGAGGUGCUUGAGUAGCAAUACGAGAGUAUCCUAGUGGCGAACGGGUGAGUAACGCGUUGGUGACCUACCCAAAGUGUGGGAUAACAGUCCGAAAGGAUUGCUAAUACCGCAUGUGGUCUUCGGAUUUAGAAACUGAUGACUAAAGCAGCAAUGCGCUUUGGGAGGGACCUGCGUCCCAUCAGCUAGUUGGCGAGGUAACGGCUCACCAAGGCGACGACGGGUAGGGGACCUGAGAGGGUGGCCCCCCACAAUGGAACUGAAACACGGUCCAUACACCUACGGGUGGCAGCAGUAGGGAAUAUUGCUCAAUGGGCGAAAGCCUGAAGCAGCAACGCCGCGUGUGCGAUGAAGG
rnacentral:rRNA from 1 species